GAUGAACGCUGACAGAAUGCUUAACACAUGCAAGUCAACUUGAAUUUGGGUUUUUAACUUAGGUUUGGGUGGCGGACGGGUGAGUAACGCGUAAAGAACUUGCCUCACAGCUAGGGACAACAUUUGGAAACGAAUGCUAAUACCUAAUAUUAUGAUAAUAGGGCAUCCUAUAAUUAUGAAAGCUAUAAGCGCUGUGAGAGAGCUUUGCGUCCCAUUAGCUAGUUGGAGAGGUAACGGCUCACCAAGGCGAUGAUGGGUAGCCGGCCUGAGAGGGUGAUCGGCCACAAGGGGAGUGAGACACGGCCCUUACUCCUACGGGAGGCAGCAGUGGGGAAUAUUGGACAAUGGACCGAGAGUCUGAUCCAGCAAUUCUGUGUGCACGAUGAAGUUUUUCGGAAUGUAAAGUGCUUUCAGUUGGGAAGAAACAAAUGACGGUACCAACAGAAGAAGUGACGGCUAAAUACGUG
rnacentral:rRNA from 1 species